rnacentral:misc_RNA from 1 species
UCCGGUUUGUCACCGGCAGUCUCAUUAGAGUGCCCUUGCGUAGCAACUAAUGAUAAGAGUUGCGCUCGUUGCGGGACUUAACCCAACAUCUCACGACACGAGCUGACGACAGCCAUGCAGCACCUGUGCAUCCUGGUAUUGCUACCUCGUCGGGCUUUCACCCUCCUACUAGAUGCAUGUCAAGGCCAGGUAAGGUUCUUCGCGUUGCAUCGAAUUAAGCCACAUACUCCACCGCUUGUGCAGGCCCCCGUCAAUUUCUUUGAGUUUUAAUCUUGCGACCGUACUUCCCAGGCGGCUUGCUUAUCGCGUUGGCUUCGCCACAGAAGGGGUCGAUUCCUUCUACAGCAAGCAAGCACCGUUUACGGCUAGGACUAC